rnacentral:lncRNA from 1 species
GCCGCUGCACUGCGGCGCCCGUGGGUGGGGAUUCCGCCCCGGGGUGGGGACCCCGCGGUCCCGCUGCUGGGGGACACUGGGGGUGGCGACCCCGGUGGCCGGCCACCUGCGACAGGUGUCCGCUGCGUCCCUCGGAGACUGGGGCCCCACCCUCACCCCGGGGCCUCUGAGGCGGGGCGGGAGGGCAGGCGCCAAGGCAGAGUGGGGAGAGGGCUGCCAGUGUCUAUAUAUUUUUCAUACAGCAAAUGCUACUAAAAUGGCUGCUGCCUCUCUGUUUCCUUAGAAACCCAUGAGUCUUCCUCAGCAGCUGUCGAAACUUGCCGGCGGUUGCUUGCUCACCUUUGCUGUCUCCCCUUCAGAAAAGGCUGGAGGGGAGGGCGAGGAAGGCUUGGCGUGGGGACGCCCGUCGAGUCUCUCAGUGAGGAAUGAGAGGCCAGCUUCUCCUGCGGGGUAUGAAGGAGGAACUGUAUCUCCUAUAUAUAUUAAGUUUCAUUUAUAAAGACAUCAGAGAGCACCUGAGAAUGUUUCAAGGUCACCAAAAGCUUUCUGAAAAUGCCUUUCUGCAAAGAAGGUUUCCAGGUACCAUUGUCUUAAAGAAAUCUCUGCGACAGAGUCAACAUCAUACACUCUAAGCUCUAGAGCUAUAUUUUGUAAAAACAAAAAAGGUUUCCCUGCUUCACUUUGCCUGCGGACCCCCUUCUGAUGAACUCCACUCAGGCCUUGUUCCUGGAGCCCUCUUCCUCUGGCUGCAAUCCAGAGCAAGUUGCUGUCUGGACUUGUUGAAAAGCUGUUGUCCUGAGACUUCUCUUCAAAUUCUAAGGAAAAAUUUACUUUUUCUCAGGAUUCUAAACCCAAUCAAAUAAUCAAGUGUAAAGGCAAAAUAGAUACAAAAUGUACCUUGCAAAUACUCUAGGAAGCUACUGGAAGAAAGGCUUCAGCAAAUAAAGGAAGUGUAUGAAGAAAGAAAGAAGCAUGGCACAUUGCUACCUUAACUAAUAAAAAUCUCUGAACUUUCCGGUCCCAUCUGAGGAAGCAAAAAUGCUACUUGCUGCAAAAACGACACCAUUUAUCACACUGCAACAAAAGCAAUGUAUAGGCAUGCCUUGGGGAUAUGUGAGUUUGAUUCCAGACUACUUCAAUAAAAUGAAUACUGCAAUGAAGUCACACAAUUUUUUUUGUUUCGCAGUGCAUAUAAAAGUUAUAUUUACUUUAUACUGUAGUCUGUUAAGUAUGCAGAAGCAUUAUGUAUUUAAAAAACACUAUACGUAUCUUAAUUUUAAAAUAUUUUAUUGCUAAAAAAUGCUGACAACUGUCUGAGCCUUCAGUGAGUUGUAAUCUUUUUGCUGGUGGAUGGUCUUGCCUCAAUAUUGGUGGCUGCUGACUGAUCAGGAUGGUGUUGCUGAAGGAUGGGGUGGCUAUGGCAAAUUCUUAAAACAAGACAACAAUGAAGUUUGCCACAUGGAUUCAAUCUUCCUUUCACAAAAGAUUUCUCUGUAUUAUGAGAUGCUGUUUGAUAGCAUUUGGCCCACAAUAUAACUUCUUUCAAAAUUGGAGCCAAUCCUCUCAAAACCUGCUGCUGCUUUAUCAACUAACUUUAUGUAAUAUUCUAAAUCCUUUUUUAUCAUUUCUACAGUGUUCACAGCAUCUUCCUCAGGAGUAAAGUCCAUCUCAAGAAACCACUUUCUUUGCUUAUCCUUAAGAAGUAACUCCCCAUCUGUUCAAGUUUUAUCAUGAGAUUGUAGCAAUUCAGUCACAUCUCCAGGCUUCAUUUCUAAUUCUAUUCCCUUUCUAUUUCUAUCACAUCUAUAGUUAUCUCCUUUAUUGAAGUCUUAAAUCCCUCAAAGUCAUCCAUGAAGGUUGGACUCAACACCCAAACUCCUGUUCAUGUUGAUAUUUUGACCUCCUCCCAUGAAUCACUAACGUUCUUAAUGGCACCUAGAAUAGUGAAUCCUUUCCAGAAGGUUUUCUAUUUACUUUGCCCAGAUAUAUCACAGGAAUCACUAUCUAUAGCAGCUACAGCCUUACAAAAUGUAUUUCUCAAAUAAGACUUGAGAGUCAAAGUUACUCCUGAAUCCAUGGACUGCAGAAUGGAUGUUGUGUUAGCAGGCAUGAAAAUCAUGUUAAUCUCCUUGUACAUCUCCCUUAGAGCCCUUGAGUGACUAGGUGCACUGUCAAUCAGUAGUAAUAUUUUGAAAGAACUAUUUUUUUCUGAGCAGUAGAUCUCAACAGUGGGCUUAAAAUAUUCAGUUAACCAUGAUAUAAACAGAUGUGCUGUCAUCUGAGCAUUGUUGUUUUACUUAUAAAGCACAAGCAGAAGAGAUUUAGCAUAAUUUUUAAGGGCCCUAGGAUUUUCAGAAUAAUAUGUGAGCCUUGGCUUCAACUUAAAGUCACCAGCUGUGUUAACCCUUCACAAGAGAGUCAGCCUGUCCUUUGGAGCCUUGAAGCCAUUGGCUUCUUCUCUCUAAUUCUGAAAGUUUUAGAUGGCAUCUUCUUCCAAUAGAAGGCUGUUUUUUCUAAAUUGAAAAUUUGUUGUUUAGUGUAGCCACCUUCAUCAAUGAUCUUAACUGGAUCUUCUGGAUAGCUUGUUGCAGCUUCUCCCUCAGCACUGCUGCUUCACCUUGCACUUUUAUGUUAUAGAGAUGGCUUCUUUCCCUAAACCUCAUGGACCCACCUCUAGUAGCUUCAAACUUUUCUGCUGUAGCUUCCUCACCUCUCUCAGCCUUGAUAGAAUUGAAGAGAGUUAGGGCCUUGCUCUGGAUUAGACUUUGGCUGAAGGGAAUGUUACGGCUGGUUUGAUAAUCUCUCCAGAACACUCAAACCUUCUCCAUAUCAGCAAUAAGGAUGCUUCACUUUCUUAUCAUUCUAGUGCUCACUAGAGUAGCAUUUGUAGUUUCCUUCAGCAAUUUUUCUUUUGCAUUCACAAUUUGGCUGUUUGGUGCAAGGGACCUAGCUUUUGGCCAAUCUUGGCUUCCAACAUGCCCUCCUCAGCAAGCUUAAUCAGUUCUAGCUUUUGAUUAAAGUGAGAGAGGUGAGAUCUUCCUUUCACUUGAACACUUAGAGGCCACUAUAGGGUUAUUAACUGGCCCAAUUUCAAUAUUGUUCUGUCUCAGGGAAUGGGGAGGCCGAGGAGAGAGAGAGUGAGAGAGAGAAGACAAGAAGCAGCCAGUGAGUGGAGCUGUCUGAGCACACACAUUUAUCAAUCAAGUUUGCCAUCUGCUAUGAGCGUGCUUCGUGGUUCCCCAAUUACUAUAGUAACAUGAAAGACCACUGAUCACAGAUCAUUAUCACACAUCAUCAUCACACAGAUAAAAUAAUGGUGGCAAAUGUGAAAUAUUGUGAGAAUUACCAAAAUGUGACAAAGCGAGCACAUGCUGUUGGAAAAAUGGAACUGGGCCCGCGAAGUCCCCGCCUGCUGUCCCCGCAAGGUGGCGCCUUGGACGCGGGCGCACAGCCCGGGAGAGGCUCAGGAAGCCCAGGGCCCGGCCCGGCAGCCUGCAGCCCGAGGGCUUCGCCCCUCCCGAAGGCCCUGAGCUCCAUUCUAGGCGUUCAGACGGGACAAGGGCGGUGGAAGAUGAAAUGAGAACCAGAGUUUGACAAAGAACUGGCAAAAUAAAAGAAAACUCACACAGGACUUAGGAAGAGAGAAAAUCUUCAUCGGGAAGUUCUGAUGGAAAGGAACCUGCAUCCACAGUGCUGACGACUUCUGCAGAGGGGAGCGUCCUGAGGAGGAGGCGGACACAAUUGCCUGUGGUGCCACACUAAAGACGUCCCAAGACACAUGCUGCCACCUGGCAUUCAACCCAGACUCCCAGUACAUUUAAGAAGCAUAGUCGUGGACCAGAAAAUCAGACUCUGGAAGUGGCUCUGCAUUUCUGGGAUCCUCCGGCUGAAGGAGGAUGUGGUUUGCCAAGAUAUCCACCCGGCUGACCUCAAAUUCGCAGAGAGCAGUCCCGAGCCCCAGCCAAGCUCACAGGACGACUUUGAAACGUGCCCUGGCACCCAUCAAAGUUACACGCGUGGACUGCGGAGUGCAGGACGAAUUUGAUUUGAAGUUUCGCUGAACCCUUGAGAGACUUCUGGGUCAUGAGCUAACUGCGCCACCUGCGGCCACCAAAAGAAACAGCUCCUCCCAGGUCUGGUGGAAGGCUGAUCAGGUGCCAAGCACGUGUGCGCACUUGCACCUGGGGGCUUCUUUGUUGAUAGUUCAUCAUCUCACAAUAAAUUGUUAGUCAAGCCUUAUUUUCUUAAGGAACAUUAAUUUCAUGUAUAGUGAGUGUAUUUUGUAUGUUUUAAAUUGUAAAUGGGGCUAAAUCCAAGGAAGCUCAAACUUAACGCAGGCUUGUGGCAAACUUUGCUUUAAUCCCCUACCAUGCUCCAAGGUAAACUGACAAGUAUACUGAAAUGGAUUUUCCACAAGUAUUUUAAGUUGCCACUUGUCAGAUGGGUUGUUUUGGAUUUAACCAUGUAAUUCAUGGGACCAAUUGAGAGUAAUCUUUCUUUACAGGUGUCUGGCAAAGCAGUGUCAAGAGUCAGACACCUUUACUAUCUUUAUGGAAACUUAAUUUUUGGCCUUUUAUCAAUAUGUCAGACAGGGCUCUGAACAAACAUGUUAAGUUGAGCUGUUAAACUGAUGGGUUUUAUGGAAGUUUACAUUCUUCAUUUGGUACCUGUGUUACAGUAGGUAGCUAGUCAGUCAUGAGCAGGACAGGAGAGGGCCCUCCCCCAGCACACACACCAGGAAUGUCAGGCGACCAUCACGUGAUGCUCAGGGAGGUUGUUAACUGUCUCUCUAAAAUAAUAAUUAGUCAUAGCCAGGGCCAGGGAAAGGCAGUUUCCCAAUAGAUAGAAAAACCUGAGCCUAGUGAUCAGCAGCUUCCUGAUAAGAUCCCAGGAGUUGGGCGAUUGGGCUCAAGCAUGUUUAUUAAGGGACAAAAUGGUGGAAUUUAACUGGCAUAUGACCUCCAAGGGACAUUCAACUAGUAAGGGAAGAAUGCCUCAAUUGAACAUGCGUACAACUCCAAUAAACACAGUGCACAUGCUCACCUCCCAAGUGCUGGCAGGCCACUGUGCAUGUGGACAACACACCCCAAGGGAAGAAUCAGGUUGAGAAGAGAUGCAAGACCCGGGAAGUAUGCCAACAUAGAAAAUCCCAAGUCAAAGGUCAAACAGCGCACUUAAUCUCUCCAGUUGCCCACUUGGCCUUCUUCCAAGUGUACUUUACUUCCUUUUAUUCUUGUGCUAAAGCUUGAUAAUAAAUUUCACUCCCACUCUAAAACUUGCCUCAGUCUCUCCUUCUGCCUCAUGCCCCUCAGUUGAAUUAUUUCUUCUGAGGAGGCAGGAAUUGAGGCUGCUGAAGACCCAUAUGGAUUUGCUGCUGGUAACAUGCUUUGAUGCUGUAUGACUUGGGUAUGUCCUGCUGCUAACAUUUGUAAAUAGAGCUAGGUGCAUUCUUUAUCUAUAAUACUCCAAGAUUUAAUGCAGCAGAGCGACUUAUAAAGAACACUUUUUAACAAUCAGUGGAUUUACCACAUAAAAUUGCUGUAAAUUAUAAUGUGUACAGAUUUUUUGUUCAAAUAUUCCUUUGUAAACUUAAUAUUAACACUGUUAUGUUUCUACUGCUUUUUAUUGAAUGAUAUUGUAAAAAUACAAAGAAAAGCAUCUUGUUUUUUAAAAAAAAAAAGAAAGAAAAAUGAUACUGAUGGACUUGCUCAAUGAAGAGUUGCCACAAAUCUUCAACUUGUAAAAAAUGCAGUAUCUGUGAAGGGUAAUAAAGCAAAGCACAAUUAAACGAGGUGUGCUUGGAUAGGGAGGUCUCAGCAGCCUUUUGGGGUCAUUAUUUAAAAAUCACAAAUCCUCAAUAAUUAUGGGAAUGUGCUUAACAUUUAGACUGUGAAGAGAACAAAUGG